GAUGAACGCUGGCGGCGUGCCUAAUACAUGCAAGUCGAGCGAACGGACGAGAAGCUUGCUUCUCUGAUGUUAGCGGCGGACGGGUGAGUAACACGUGGAUAACCUACCUAUAAGACUGGGAUAACUUCGGGAAACCGGAGCCAAUACCGGAUAAUAUUUUGAACCGCAUGGUUCAAAAGUAAAAGACGGUCUUGCUGUCACUUAUAGAUGGAUCCGCGCUGCAUUAGCUAGUUGGUAAGGUAACGGCUUACCAAGGCAACGAUGCAUAGCCGACCUGAGAGGGUGAUCGGCCACACUGGAACUGAGACACGGUCCAGACUCCUACGGGAGGCAGCAGUAGGGAAUCUUCCGCAAUGGGCGAAAGCCUGACGGAGCAACGCCGCGUGAGUGAUGAAGGUCUUCGGAUCGUAAAACUCUGUUAUUAGGGAAGAACAUAUGUGUAAGUAACUGUGCACAUCUUGACGGUACCUAAUCAGAAAGCCACGGCUAACUACGUGCCAGCAGCCGCGGUAAUACGUAGGUGGCAAGCGUUAUCCGGAAUUAUUGGGCGUAAAGCGCGCGUAGGCGGUUUUUUAAGUCUGAUGUGAAAGCCCACGGCUCAACCGUGGAGGGUCAUUGGAAACUGGAAAACUUGAGUGCAGAAGAGGAAAGUGGAAUUCCAUGUGUAGCGGUGAAAUGCGCAGAGAUAUGGAGGAACACCAGUGGCGAAGGCGACUUUCUGGUCUGUAACUGACGCUGAUGUGCGAAAGCGUGGGGAUCAAACAGGAUUAGAUACCCUGGUAGUCCACGCCGUAAACGAUGAGUGCUAAGUGUUAGGGGGUUUCCGCCCCUUAGUGCUGCAGCUAACGCAUUAAGCACUCCGCCUGGGGAGUACGACCGCAAGGUUGAAACUCAAAGGAAUUGACGGGGACCCGCACAAGCGGUGGAGCAUGUGGUUUAAUUCGAAGCAACGCGAAGAACCUUACCAAAUCUUGACAUCCUUUGACAACUCUAGAGAUAGAGCCUUCCCCUUCGGGGGACAAAGUGACAGGUGGUGCAUGGUUGUCGUCAGCUCGUGUCGUGAGAUGUUGGGUUAAGUCCCGCAACGAGCGCAACCCUUAAGCUUAGUUGCCAUCAUUAAGUUGGGCACUCUAAGUUGACUGCCGGUGACAAACCGGAGGAAGGUGGGGAUGACGUCAAAUCAUCAUGCCCCUUAUGAUUUGGGCUACACACGUGCUACAAUGGACAAUACAAAGGGCAGCGAAACCGCGAGGUCAAGCAAAUCCCAUAAAGUUGUUCUCAGUUCGGAUUGUAGUCUGCAACUCGACUACAUGAAGCUGGAAUCGCUAGUAAUCGUAGAUCAGCAUGCUACGGUGAAUACGUUCCCGGGUCU
rnacentral:rRNA from 1 species